rnacentral:rRNA from 1 species
GUCCACGCCGUAAACGAUGAACACUAGGUUUUGGUCCCGUCAACGGAUCGGAGCCGUAGCUAACGCGUUAAGUGUUCCGCCUGGGGAGUACGCUCGCAAGGGUGAAACUCAAAGGAAUUGACGGGGGCCCGCACAAGCGGUGGAGCAUGUGGUUUAAUUCGACGCAACGCGAAGAACCUUACCAGGGCUUGACAUGGGAAAGACCGGACGAGAGAUCGUCCUUCUUCAGCAAUGAAGCUUUCCACACAGGUGCUGCAUGGCUGUCGU